rnacentral:rRNA from 1 species
AGCUAGGCCUAACAUUGUCAGUUCGCCAGCUUCUUAGAGGGACUAUCGGUGUUUAACCGACGGAAGUUUGAGGCAAUAACAGGUCUGUGAUGCCCUUAGAUGCUCUGGGCCGCACGCGCGCUACACUGAUGAAGUCAUCGAGUUCAUUUCCUUUAUCGGAAGAUAUGGGUAAUCUUUUGAAACUUCAUCGUGCUGGGGAUAGAGCAUUGCAACUAUUGCUCUUGAACGAGGAAUCCCUAGUAAGUACAAGUCACUAGCUUGUGCUGAUUACGUCCCUGCCCUUUGUACACACCGCCCGUCGCUACUACCGAUUGAAUGGCUUAGUGAGGCCUUCGGAUUGAAAUUCGGAGACUGGCAACAGACUCUUGGUUUUGAAAAGUUGGACAAACUUGGUCAUUUAGAGGAAGUAAAAGUCGUAACAAGGUUUCCGUAGGUGAACCUGCGG